AUAUCAGCGUCAGUCUCUCAGCUCUUGUUCAGUCUGUCAGCAUGAAAACAAGAGAGAGGAACUGUGAGGCUGAUCUUUAUGGAUUGAGCCCAGAUAUGAAAAAAAGGUCAGAACGAGAAUGUUGCUGGAAACUGCGAUCUUGUCCUGGUCUAACAGUGUUAAAGUCAAAACUUGACAGUGAAUUAAAGCACAAUGACAGCAGGCAAAAAUAUAAGACAUCAUUCAGAGAAAUGUUUUACUUGAGGAUCAGGAUCCUGAAAACAACAUUUUCUCAAAGGGAGUUUAUAAAAGAAGCUUCAAUCUCAUUCUCAUUUUCUCUAUGUCAGAAUGAGGAUGUUACUGGUGACAAAAUCAAGAUAUGAUGGAGUAUACGAUACACAACAACAUACUUGCCCUCUUAUCUAGUCUGACAACAAUCCUGUGUCUGUUUGAGUUUCUCCUCCCAUCCAAUCAUCAGAGAAUACAGUCUCUCAGCACUUGUUCAGUCUGUCAGGAUGAAAACAAGAGAGAGGAACUGUGAAGCAGAUCUUUAUGGAUUGAGCCCAGAUAUGCAAAAGAACACAGGGCCGAAUGAGGAUGUUGUUGAAAAUUCUGCAAUCUUGUCCUGC